GGACUUAGCUCAACGGUAGAGUAUCUGCUUUGUAAGCGGAAAGUCCCAGGUUCAAUUCCUGGCAUCUCCA